GUAGGUGGCAAGCGUUGUCCGGAAUUAUUGGGCGUAAAGCGCGCGCAGGCGGUUCUUUAAGUCUGAUGUGAAAGCCCACGGCUCAACCGUGGAGGGUCAUUGGAAACUGGAGAACUUGAGUACAGAAGAGGAAAGCGGAAUUCCACGCGUAGCGGUGAAAUGCGUAGAGAUGUGGAGGAACACCAGUGGCGAAGGCGGCUUUCUGGUCUGUAACUGACGCUGAGGCGCGAAAGCGUGGGGAGCAAACAGGAUUAGAUACCCUGGUAGUCCACGCCGUAAACGAUGAGUGCUAAGUGUUAGGGGGUUUUCCGCCCCCCUUAGUGCUGCAGCUAACGCAUUAAGCACUCCGCCCUGGGAGUACGGCCGCAAGGCUG
rnacentral:rRNA from 1 species